rnacentral:rRNA from 1 species
CCUACGGGUUGCACCAGUGGGGAAUAUUGGACAAUGGGCGAAAGCCUGAUCCAGCAAUGCCGCGUGUGUGAAGAAGGUCUUCGGAUUGUAAAGCACUUUCGACGGGGACGAUGAUGACGGUAUCCGUAGAAGAAGCCCCGGCUAACUUCGUGCCAGCAGCCGCGGUAAUACGAAGGGGGCUAGCGUUGCUCGGAAUGACUGGGCGUAAAGGGCGCGUGGGCGGUUUAUGCAGUCAGAUGUGAAAUCCCCGGGCUUAACCUGGGAACUGCAUUUGAGACGCAUAGACUAGAGGUCGAGAGAGGGUUGUGGAAUUCCCAGUGUAGAGGUGAAAUUCGUAGAUAUUGGGAAGAACACCGGUGGCGAAGGCGGCAACCUGGCUCGAUACUGACGCUGAGGCGCGAAAGCGUGGGGAGCAAACAGGAUUAGAUACCCUUG